UACGGAGGAUGCAAGCGUUAUCCGGAUUUAUUGGGUUUAAAGGGUGCGCAGGUUGUUUGAUAAGUCAGUGGUGAAAGUCUGUCGCUUAACGGUAGGAUUGCCAUUGAUACUGUUAGACUUGAAUAUGGAUGAGGUAGGCGGAAUGUGUAGUGUAGCGGUGAAAUGCAUAGAUAUUACACAGAACACCGAUUGCGAAGGCAACUUACUAAUCCAUCAUUGACGCUGAGGCACGAAAGCGUGGGGAUCAAACAGGAUUA
rnacentral:rRNA from 1 species